GCUUUGCGGGCGCAUCUCAUCGAGAUGCUUGAGAUCGAGGCUGUAGAUGAAGUGCUUGUCUUCUUCGUAAUGUCGCAGCAUGGCAACGAUGGCGGCUGUGU
rnacentral:sRNA from 1 species